rnacentral:lncRNA from 1 species
CUAUACAUGCCAUAUAAACCAUAAUGUACGUUUCAAAGACUAUCGAAAUGAGUUGGAUAGUGUGACCUGUUGUGCUGAUCCAAUCUCCCGACUUGACGAUAAUCUGCAAAGACAUUAAACAAUACAAAUAAGCUUAAUGAAGCUUAGUAAGUUCGAUAGGUUAAACAUAAAUCUUACCGAACCUACUAUAACAAAUCAAUUAAGUAAAUCAUUCAAUGUACACUUCCUGCCAAUCACAACCCCAAUUGAUGAAUACACUUAUUUCAGAUCAAUUCCAACAUUAAAUAACAAAUCUUCCAAUUCCAAUUAUAUAAGUCACUUACCAAAUCGAAGAACGGCUUACGAAUAAGAGUACAUCAUUUUCAGAAGCCCGAAGGCUGAGCAGAAGCUCAUAAGAGCUAAACAGAAACCCGUAAAGGUUAAACAGAAGCUCGUAAGAGCUGAACGGAAACCCAUAAGGGUUAAACAGAAGCUCAAAAUAGCUGAACAGAAACUCAUAUGAGUUAAACAGAAGCUCAUGAAAGCUAAAUGAAAAUUAAACACGAAAUUUCGCAACAAAUGCUGAACCUCGGUUAACUUGGGUAAUUUGACACAUUUUCCUCCAAUACCGUCAAUUCGCCGAAUGUCGAAUGUACUCAAAUCCCACGUUCCAUUCGUUUCGAACAUUCAAUUUAAUUUCAUAACUUUAACAAUAUUUCAUUUUCAACAAUAGAUAUGAAUAAAUACAUAAUAUCAUUCAUCAAUCUAAUAUAUAUAUUAAAGUUUAACUAUACGAACUUACCUGGAUUAAAUCGUAAGAUUUGCAGAAGUUCAAAGACUAUUUUGCUAAUUUUCUUUUUUCAAUAAUAUCUACGAGCUCUUGAUCUAAAAUAUAAAUUAUAAAAUUACUCAUUUAUUAGCAUAUAUUCCAAUUCCAAUUCACUUCACAAUUAAUACCCCUCAAUUUUUUGAAAUUACACAAUUACCUUAACUUUUACAAAUUUUGCAAUUUAAUCCCUUAAUUAAUUAGUCCACUAAAUGAACUAAUCUUUCUCAAUUCAUAAUUUAUCUAAAUAUUCUAGGCUAUCAUACAGCCCUUAAUAAACAGAAAUUAAUAGCAAACCCUAGUAUUUAACCUUUUUACAAUUUGGUCCUAAAAUCUAUAUCUAUCAAAAUCACCUUAUAAAAUCAUUAUACAACAAAAUUAAAGCUCCAAAUCCAUGUUAUUUCAUCAAAAAAAUCCAGUAUUCAUCAAUGGCAUCUUUCAAAUUUUCCAAUAAAAUCAAAAACUAAUAAAAUAGUUAUUGGACCUAAUUGUAAAAGUCUUAAAAUAUAAAAAUUUCAAAAAAAAGACAAGAAUUGAACUUACUUGAAGCAAAAAUAUGAACCGGCAUUUUUGGACUAAAGAUUGAUGAAGAAUUGACUAGAAACUCUUUUAAUUUCUAAUUUGUUUUCAUUAAAUUUACAGUUUUGCCAUUAAUUUUCAUUAAUUUAUUAUUUUUUAACACCUAUGUCGCCUCAGCCAUUACCUUUAGGAUUAUUUACUCUUUAAAUCCUCCCUAUUUACCAUUUAAGUCAUUUAAUCACUAUUUCUUUAAUUAGCAAGUUUUUAAAUUUUUUCAAUUUAGUAAUUUUUAAUUAAUUAACUAUCAAAACAUUAAAAUUUUCUAACGAAACUUUAAUACCACCUUAAUGACACUCCGUAAAUAUUUUAUCGAUUUAUAGAAAUGAGGUCUCAAUACCUCAUUUUCUAAACCACUUGACCUAAUAAAUCCUUAUAAAACACAAAUUACUAAUACAAAAAUCUUUCUAAAAUCACAUUUGACUUGUAAAUACUAAAGCUUAAAAUUUGCGAGCUUACUCGUCAGAUUUGGCGGUCUUGAACCACUAUUUUCCUACACCACUGAAAAUCGAGUUGUUACAGUAGAUAAUAAAUUUGCGAACACACACAUAAAAUGUUGAUUUCCACAGUGUCAAAACAAGAAUUCACAAAUAAAUUAGAAAGAUGCGGAACCCACACCUGAUUCGCGA